CUUGGAAAAGGACUGCUAAGAAAUUCAAUCUGCUGUUGCUGCUUUGUGAAGCUAAAGACCGAGUAUCCCCUUUGCACGUGGGGCUGUGCCGACGGAGGCCUUCUUCAGCACG
ensembl:lncRNA